rnacentral:tRNA from 1 species
GUCAGGAUGGCAGAUCGGUCUAAGGCGCUGCCUUCACGUCACAGGUUCCCCUGGAGGUGUGGGUUCAAAUCCCACUU